UGCCAGACUCCUACGGGAGGCAGCAGUGGGGAAUAUUGCACAAUGGGGGAAACCCUGAUGCAGCGACGCCGCGUGAGCGAUGAAGUAUUUCGGUAUGUAAAGCUCUAUCAGCAGGGAAGAAGAUGACGGUACCUGACUAAGAAGCCCCGGCUAACUACGUGCCAGCAGCCGCGGUAAUACGUAGGGGGCAAGCGUUAUCCGGAUUUACUGGGUGUAAAGGGAGCGUAGACGGCGGCGCAAGCCAGAUGUGAAAGCCCGGGGCUCAACUCCGGGACUGCAUUUGGAACUGUGUGGCUGGAGUGUCGGAGAGGCAGGCGGAAUUCCUAGUGUAGCGGUGAAAUGCGUAGAUAUUAGGAGGAACACCAGUGGCGAAGGCGGCCUGCUGGACGAUGACUGACGUUGAGGCUCGAAAGCGUGGGGAGCAAACAGGAUUAGAUACCCGCGUAAC
rnacentral:rRNA from 1 species